UAGACACAUAUGUUCAUCACAGGGGUAUGGAAUUAAGUAGCAAUGAGCACUGUGAUCAUACAUUGUUCUUGCGAUGCCUCUCCUGCAUGCAGCGAACAACAUAGUACUCUUAAAAAGUUCAAUGUUACAGAUUAUCGUAGAGAUCGAGUUGGAGGAUCUAUUCGUAUGAUGCUAUACGACACAUGAGCUUGUAUUAGCCUUCAUCCGUCCAUCUCAUUAAAUUUGUGCAUUAGAAACAUGACUGUUCUUUGGUAUCGAGGCAUCUAAAUAUCGAAUCGGAACAUCUAAAGAAGCCCACAGUGGAUCCCAAAAUCUCAGAAGCGGACGGCGAGGAUUUCUUGGGUGCUUCGCUUCUCGACUUGCGACGCAAGGCAGGCAGCGGCAAAGGCGGUGGCUCUUCACUACCACUUGUGUCACGACUCAGGUCGGUCCCCCGUCCCUGAGGAGGUGGAGGCCCUCUGCGUCGACUUGUCUCACGAGUUAGGUCGGUCCCGAGGCCAACCAUAAGUGGGUCGGUGGAAGGCGAGGAGGGAAGCGCGGAAGAGACAGAGGAAUCCAUGGAAGACCUGUUCCGGAAGGUGUAUCGUGGCGACCCCGGGGUGCCCCACUCUGAUCCGGACCGCUACCUCCAUUCAUGUUUGGGCUCCUUCGCCUUCGCCGCCGUCUCCUGGUGCACCUCUCGCACCGCCGACCUCUCCCGGCGCUUCAACUGGCAUGACAAGGCCUUGAAAUUUGAGCAUAAUCAUUGGAAGAAAGUCAUGGAGAGGAAGCAUCGGAAUGGUGAUUCACUUACUGCCAGUAUGAGCAAGCCAUGACAGACCUGGCUAAUUAGGUCUCAACUGCUGCUGAUAUCCUGUUCAUAGGCUCCAAUUACUCAUCUGUGCGUAUAUGUUGUUGUCUUAUGGGAACAGUAUUCUGAACGAUGUCGGUCGCUGUGCCGAUAAAGUUGGUCCAUACUCAUCUGUGGAUUAUGUAUGGUUUUGCUGUCACUUCUGUUAAAUUUUGCAAUGGUCAUGGAGUUGUUUCACUUAUGUGUCUGUUUAGUAUCUUUAAGUUGGUCCAUACUCAUCUGUGGAUUAUGUAUGGUUUUGCUGUCACUUCUGUUAAAUUUUGCAAUGGUCAUGGAGUUGUUUCACUUA